rnacentral:lncRNA from 1 species
CAUUAUUAUUGUAUACUUUUGUACAAAUUUCCGGUUGGUGAUUCAAAGCUUUUUUCCCAAGAAAAUAAACUUUGAAUCACCAACACCCAUAUUCUAAAUUACAAAUAAAAGAAUGAAACUUACAUUUCUGCACCUUUGAAUUCAUAUAUAAAACUAAAAAUAUAAGUCUCAGCAAUUUUAGUAGUUCAAUUAGCGGUGAGAAUUCAGGUAGUUAACUAUCUAAACUUUUACCUUGUUGGUACGACUUCGACUCCAUUCCCAUCCCCAUUUACCCUAGUUCCCCAUUUCCUUGUGUUCAACAAGACUUAAUAAAUUUGUUCACCUUAUAAUUUGAAAUUGUCUAAUCAGCUGACAUGCAUCUCGACUAUUCCACCAGAUAUAUGUUGUUUCCUACCAACACAGAUUUUAGAUAAUUCUGUUCAACUAGAAUUCUGUGCUGGUCUGAAAUAACAUGCAUCUUGGUAGAAUAAUCGAGACGCGUACAAGUUGAUUAGCACAAUGUCAAAUUAUAAGUUGAACAAAAUUUGUUGUCUUGUUGAACACAGUUAUAUGGUAUCUAUUGAUGAAAUAGUCGAGAUGCAUGCAAGUUGAAACUAUCUCUUCUUGUUAUGCAAAGGGUUUGAUCCAGUAGGAAUUCUCCUCUUGGAGGACUCCAAAUCUUGAGCUGCUGGAGUACUUACAAGAGGUUGAAAAACUUGUGAUUUUCUUGCCGCCGGCGUGCCAGGAACUUGCCCCGGCAGCUGCCGGCUAGCCUGAAUUCUUGAAGAUGUAGUAGUAACAACAAGAAGAAAAAAGAAGAUGAAAUGAAAAAUAUUCAUCACUUUUAUUUCAAAAGUAGCUGCUUCAGCUUCAACCACUCUAAUUUUCAAUAUAAAUUUAUAAUGUUGUGUAAAGAGUUAUAGAAAAAUUAUAAGAUAUGGUGGAUCGAUUUUAUAUUUGUUGAGGGGAUGUUGAAUUUGAUGAAUGUGUUUUAAGUGUGGAAAGUGAUAGAAAAGACAGAAAGUGGAA